rnacentral:tRNA from 1 species
AGCUGUUUAGCUUAAGUAAGCAUUUAUUUUGAAAGUAAUGUAUAAGAAUUAUUAUCUUAACGGCUU